UACGUAGGGGGCAAGCGUUGUCCGGAUUCAUUGGGCGUAAAGAGCUCGUAGGCGGCUUGGUAAGUCGGGUGUGAAACCUCCAGGCUCAACCUGGAGACGCCACUCGAUACUGCCAUGGCUAGAGUCCGGUAGGGGCCCACGGAAUUCCUGGUGUAGCGGUGAAAUGACGCAGAUAUCAGGAAGAACACCUAUGGCGAAGGCAGCUCUCUGGGACGGUACUGACGCUGAGACGCGAAAGCGUGGGGAGCGAACAGG
rnacentral:rRNA from 1 species